GACGUAGGGCGCGAGCGUUGUCCGGAUUUAUUGGGCGUAAAGAGCUCGUAGGCGGCUUGUCGCGUCGACUGUGAAAACCCGCGGCUCAACCGCGGGCCUGCAGCCGAUACGGGCAGGCUGGAGUUCGGUAGGGGAGACUGGAAUUCCUGGUGUAGCGGUGAAAUGCGCAGAUAUCAGGAGGAACACCGAUGGCGAAGGCAG
rnacentral:rRNA from 1 species